rnacentral:rRNA from 1 species
AACGAACGCUGGCGGCAUGCCUAACACAUGCAAGUCGAACGAGACCUUCGGGUCUAGUGGCGCACGGGUGCGUAACGCGUGGGAAUCUGCCCUUGGGUUCGGAAUAACAGUUGGAAACGACUGCUAAUACCGGAUGAUGACGUAAGUCCAAAGAUUUAUCGCCCAGGGAUGAGCCCGCGUAGGAUUAGCUAGUUGGUGGGGUAAAGGCCUACCAAGGCGACGAUCCUUAGCUGGUCUGAGAGGAUGAUCAGCCACACUGGGACUGAGACACGGCCCAGACUCCUACGGGAGGCAGCAGUGGGGAAUAUUGGACAAUGGGCGAAAGGCUGAUCCAGCAAUGCCGCGUGAGUGAUGAAGGCCUUAGGGUUGUAAAGCUCUUUUACCCGGGAUGAUAAUGACAGUACCGGGAGAAUAAGCCCCGGCUAACUCCGUG